rnacentral:rRNA from 1 species
AGUGAACGCUGGCGGUAGGCCUAACACAUGCAAGUCGAACGGCAGCACAGUAAGAGCUUGCUCUUACGGGUGGCGAGUGGCGGACGGGUGAGGAAUACAUCGGAAUCUACUUUUUCGUGGGGGAUAACGUAGGGAAACUUACGCUAAUACCGCAUACGACCUACGGGUGAAAGCAGGGGAUCUUCGGACCUUGCGCGAUUGAAUGAGCCGAUGUCGGAUUAGCUAGUUGGCGGGGUAAAGGCCCACCAAGGCGACGAUCCGUAGCUGGUCUGAGAGGAUGAAUCGGCCACCUGGAACUGAGGAACGGUCCCGACUCCUACGGGAGGCCGCAGUGGGGAAUAUUGGACAAUGGGCGCAAGCCUGAUCCAGCCAUACCGCGUUGGUGAAGAAGGCCUUCGGGUUGUAAAACCCUUUUUUUGGGGAAGAAAAACAGCCGGUUUAAACCCCGCCGUUCUGACGGUACCCAAAGAAAAAGCCACGGCUAACUUCGUG